rnacentral:rRNA from 1 species
CAAUAGCGUAUAUUUAAGUUGUUGCAGUUAAAAAGCUCGUAGUUGGAUUUCGGAUGGGACUUGCCGGUCCGUCGUUUCGAUGUGCACUGGCCAGUCCUAUCGUGUUGUCGGGGACUAGCUCCUGGGCUUCACUGUCCGGGACUAGGAGCUGACGAGGUUACUUUGAGUAAAUUAGAGUGUUCAAAGCAAGCCUACGCUCUGAAUACAUUAGCAUGGAAUAACACGAUAGGACUCUGGCUUAUCUUGUUGGUCUGUGAGACCAGAGUAAUGAUUAAGAGGGACAGUCGGGGGCAUUCGUAUUUCAUUGUCAGAGGUGAAAUUCUUGGAUUUAUGAAAGACGAACUUCUGCGAAAGCAUUUGUCAAGGAUGUUUUCAUUAA